CUCUCCUUCUCCUCCAUGAAAUGUGUCUGGAUGAACUCUCCUGCUACUUCCAGCUACCUGCGGCUGACAAGAGCUCAGUUUGAUGACCUGUUAGCUCGGAUCAGUACCGUUUUUUCUCUGACAAACACAAACUACCGGCGUUCUGUUUCUGCGGAUCGGAAUUCAGGAAUUUUCCGCUUUCUCUGCAAGACGACAAAUAAAUAACCUUUACGACAUCAGCCCAUUGGUGAGGUAACCUCUGCCGGUGUCAUUGUUUCUUCAGCUCAUAAACAAAACAACAAAAACAUCUGAGCUGGGUUUAUCGAGCACUAAGAGCGGUAUCUUUACUGAUGUAGUCUACAUUGGACAAAACAAGACCGGGGUCGAAGAGCAGCAGCAUUCAUUAAGGACCUCAUUUUGGUUGCGCUGUUCAGAUGUCCGAAGACGUCCUGAUCCGAGGCCUGUUGAUCCUCAUCUGUGGAGCCAAGGAAACAAGGAGUCUGUUAACACGGGAUACAAGGGUCAAUACAGAAGAGAAGAAGAAAACAUCCGGGUUAAACACUGACCGCCUGGUAAGCUGGGACUCUCGGCUGUAGUCCUGCAGACGUGUCAACGCCACCAGGACUCCAACCAGCACCAACAGAGCAGCCAGUGUCACACUCAGCCCGGCGUAGAAAGCCGUCCUCUGUAUUGGCAGGCUGCAGUCAUCGCCCAUGUACCAGGUGGAGGACAGGUCGACACACCUGAGAAGAGAGGGACGGAAAGAGUUAAACUACAGAGCAGAGAGGAAGCAAACAGAUGCCGCUCUUUACAUUCUCGUCACACCAAACCUCACCUGAUCUGACUAAACUAAAGCUCAGUUUAUAAAAUGAUGUUGUCAAUUUAAUCUUUGAUCUUUGGAAGUCUUAUCUCAGAAAGUAUCCAUGAGCCUGACUGUGCCUUUUUUUUUUUUUAUCUGUGCCUACU